AGUGCACUCCGACCCCUCUGCACACAGGAAUUCGUCCCGUCACCUCUGUGUACCAUCCAUAACCCUAAAAGACGGGCCUGUCAUCUUAUCUGGCAAGUGGGGUUUUAGCAGCCCCUUCAUUAAGCCCGGAGAACAAAGGCGGCUGGAUAAGCAAACUAAGGCUUGGAGAGCUGAGAGCUGAGAUCACAGGCCCAGGCUGUAAGAGGGAAGGUGGGACCAGAAAGAAUCCACAUUGCUCUCACCACCUCAAGAACUCUGAGGGCUGUGCUCACCGCUGUUCUGAAGCAUCACUUCCGCUCUGAAGAUCAGGGCAGCCCGAUUUCCCACGCGAGAGCGGAUAGGGCUGCCCCUGGGAUCUGAGCCAUGUCUGUGACCUACCCCACAGCUCACGACCAUGCUGGAUCCUUAACCAACUGAGCAAGGAGAGGGAUCGAACCCUCACCCUCCUGGAUACUAGUUGGGUUCAUUACUGCCGAGCCACGACAGGAACUCCUCUUUAGUUCUUGUUUUAUUCAUUCAUUCAUUCAUUCAUUCAUUUACUUAUUUAUUAUGGCCCCAGAGUGGCUUAUGGAAGUUCCUCGGCCAGGGGCCUGAAUCCACAGCCACUCCAGAUCCUUUAACCCACUGCUCCGGGAUGGGAAUUGAACCCACGCCUCUGCAGUGACUGGAGCUGCUGUAGUCGGAUUCUUAACCCACUGUGUCACAGCAGGAACUCCUUGUUUCCUUGAUUUAAGUCCUCUUGUCUCCCCUCAUGACCGGCAGAGCUCUUCCUCCUGCUGCCCUGACCUGCUUCGAGGUCAGACGCUAUGACACCUCCUCCAGGAAGCCCUUCCUGGUUUCCACUGCCUGCGGAGACCCCAGUCUUCGGAGAGUCCCAGAGCCUGCCUCUCAGAGCCUCUCGUCUGGCUUUCAGGGUGCAAAGCCCCUCCUCCCGCAGGUGCCAUGUCCCCACAGGGCACUCCCGCCCAGUUCAGCCUCCGCCCUGGCCCCUUUGAGACUCCCCAGCACCAGCAGGACAAAUCACCCUCUUCUCUGGGCUAGGCUGGGCCUUUGGGUUUGUUCUGUUGCCCCCUCGUUCCGCAUCUGCCUCCUGCGGGCUGGUCAUCACGCAGACGGGAUUGAAGAAGGCAUGUCCCCCCGGCCUCCCUCUCAGGGUGGAGCAGCCAUCAUUCCUGGUGCUCAGCUGCCCGGAAGUCUCCCUUUCAUCCUCGUGAUGGUUAAUUUCCGUGUCCACUUGCCUGGGCUAAGGGAUGUCCAGACAGCUGGUCACACAUCACUUCUGGGUGUGUCUGUGUGGAAGGUUCCAGAAGAGAGGAGCACUGGAAUCGAUGGACUGAGUGAAGAAGUAGAUGGGCAUCACCCGUUCCCCGAGGACGCAAACAGAACAUAAAGAUGAGCCACGUGCUCUCUGAGCUGGGACCUCCGCCUUCUGCUUUUGGGCAUCACGCUUCUAAGCUCCGCAGAACUUUAGACCCAGACUGAAUUCUACCACCCACUUUCCUGCUUCUCCAGCUUGCAGAUGACAGACUGCGGGGGUUUGGAGCCUCAUAAUUGCAGGAACUAAUUCUUGUACUAAAUGUAUAUAAAAUGUAUGUUUAUAUAGAAAA
rnacentral:lncRNA from 1 species